AGGAAAGGGAGGGAUUCGU
rnacentral:tRNA from 1 species